UACGGAGGGGGCUAGCGUUGUUCGGAAUUACUGGGCGUAAAGCGUGCGCAGGCGGUUGUGCAAGACAGAGGUGAAAUCCCCGGGCUUAACCUGGGAAUGGCCUUUGUGACUGCACGGCUAGAGUGUGUCAGAGGGGGGUAGAAUUCCACGUGUAGCAGUGAAAUGCGUAGAGAUGUGGAGGAAUACCGAUGGCGAAGGCAGCCCCCUGGGAUAACACUGACGCUCAUGCACGAAAGCGUGGGGAGCAAACAGG
rnacentral:rRNA from 1 species